rnacentral:lncRNA from 1 species
UUACCAUGACAACAUAGCCAACCCACAUCCUGGUGUGUGUGUGUGUGUGUGUGUGUGUGUGUGUGUGUGUGUGUGUUGCAUUCUGUCAUCAACCAGGCAUUAUAGGAGCAGAAAGACGGAACAGGCCUGACUCCAGGGUCUACCUCUCCCUCGACAGAUAUAGGAUUUUUACCCCAACCGGGAAAGGAGCUUUAAAACCUGUCAAAGAGCAAAGAGACAAAUCUGUCAAAGCAAGUCCUGAGGCUGCUCUCUUGCCACGCCCAAAGUCAAACCUCUAACCAGAGGAAAAAUGGAUUGUCAGAGGCAUGAAGCCAUGUGAUGCUGAGGUGGUGCCGUUGCCUGUUCAGCCCAGGACACUGAAGGAUCAGAUUAAGCUACGUCAGGCCACGGUCGAGAAAAGACGGAGUGACCCUCAGCAAGGCCUCAUGAUGACAACCAGAAGCAGCGGCCAAGCAUUAACAGUAGGACUUGGUUCUCACUCCAACUUUCUUGCAUAUGAAAAAAGCAACUUUGAGAGGCACGGAAAUCCUCUAUCUGUUUUAACUCACUGUUCUUAAAAUCUAACACUCGAAAACAAGGUUUCUCAAAUGAGGGUACGUGCACCCCUAGGGGUACGUGAUGGCACUACAGGUGGUACUUUGAAAGAGUGAGAGUGGAAAAUCAACAAUUAAACUGUCAGUCUUGUUACCACCUUAGGUCUGAUAUGACUAGAAUUUAUAAAAACUAUACAAAUAAAUCUAUUCAGGAGCCAAUAAAUUAGGGUUUU